rnacentral:rRNA from 1 species
UACGAAGGGUGCGAGCGUUAUUCGGAAUCACUGGGCGUAAAGGGUGCGUAGACGGUACAUUAAGUUCGUCGUUAAAGGCUCCGGCCUAACCGGAGUAUUGCGAUGAAAACUGGUGAGCUAGAGGGUGAGAGAGAGAAGUGGAAUUCCCGGAGUAGCGGUAAAAUGCGUGGAUCUCGGGAGGAACACCAAUGGCGAAGGCAGCUUCUUGGCUCAUUCCUGACGUUGAGGCACGAAAGCGUGGGGAGCAAACAGG